UAUUAAAUAAGUAAGAGUUUGUGGUGGAUGCCUUGGGUCUGAAAGUCGAUGAAGGACGUGAUAACCUGCGAUAAGCCUCGUGGAGCUGGAAAUACGCUUUGAAACGGGGAUCUCCGAAUGGGGUAACCUAACUAGACUAAUCCCUAGUUGGUAAUUAGUGAAUACAUAGCUAAUUAUGCGAAACACCUUGUGAACUGAAACAUCUUAGUAGCAAGAGGAAGAGAAAAUAAAUAAUGAUUCCAUCAGUAGCGGCGAGCGAAAGUGGAAGAGCCCAAACCAUUAAAAUUAAUGGGGUUGUAGGACAAUCUACAUAGAGUUACAAAUCUUACAGAUAGCAGAAUAAAUUGGAAAGUUUAGGCAUAGAGGGUGAUACUCCCGUAUGCGAAAUCUGUAGGACUCUUGGUUGUAUCCUGAGUAGGGCGGGGCACGUGGAACCCUGUCUGAAUCUGCCGGGACCACCCGGUAAGGCUAAAUACUAAUCAGACACCGAUAGCGAACUAGUACCGUGAGGGAAAGGUGAAAAGAACCCUGAAAAGGGAGUGAAAUAGAUUCUGAAACCACUUACUUACAAUUAGUCAGAGCCCGUUAAUGGGUGAUGGCGUACAUCUUGCAGUAUGGACCGGCGAGUUAUGCUAACAUGCAAGGCUAAGUGGAAAAAAGCGGAGCCGAAGAGAAAUCGAGUCUUAAUAGGGCGACUAGUAUGUUGGUAUAAACCCGAAACCAGGUGAUCUAUUCAUGAGCAGGCUGAAGCUGUGGUAAUACACAGUGGAGGGCCGAACCGUAGUACGCUAAAAAGUGCCCGGAUGACUUGUGAAUAGCGGUGAAAUUCCAAUCGAACCUGGAGAUAGCUGGUUCUCCUCGAAAUAGCUUUAGGGCUAGCGUGUAGUGUUAAGUGGUGGUGGUAAAGCACUGAAUGUGGAAUGGCGGCGCCUAGCUGUACUGACUACAAUUAAACUCUGAAUACCAUCAUGUAUUACUAUGCAGUCGGAACAUCGGUGAUAACGUCGAUGCUCGCGAGGGCAACAACCCAGAUCGCCGGCUAAGGUCCCAAAAUUAUGUUAAGUCAGAAAGGUUGUGAGGUUUCUCAAACAACUAGGAUGUUGGCUUAGAAGCAGCCACCAUUUAAAGAGUGCGUAAUAGCUCACUAGUCAAGAGACCUUGCGCCGAUAAUGUAAUGGGAGUAAACAUAAUACCGAAGCCGCGGGUAAGAAAUUACGUUAGAGGAGCGUUCCAAGGGCACUGAAGCUAGACCGUGAGGACUGGUGGAGCGCUUGGAAGUGAGAAUGCCGGUAUGAGUAACGAUUGGGAGUGAGAAUCUCCCACGCCUAUUGGGGAAGGUUUCCUGGGCAAGGUUCGUCCACCCAGGGUUAGUCAGGACCUAAGGCGAGGCAGACAUGCGUAGUCGAUGGACAACAGGUUAAUAUUCCUGUACUUGCUGUGGUUAUGAUGGAGUGACGAAGAAGGAUAGUUUUACCAGUUAUUGGAUUCUGGGGUAAAUAAUGAGUGGUCAGUGUUGGCAAAUCCGCACUGUAUAACCAUGGGUUAUGAUGCAUAGGGAAAGCGCAAGCAACUACUGAAUUAAACGAUUUCAUGCUUCCGAGAAAAGCUUCUAAGUUUAAACCACGGUGACCUGUACCGAGAACGGACACACGUCCCCAAGAUGAGUAUUCUAAGGCGAGCGAGAAAACUAGUGUUAAGGAACUCUGCAAAAUGACCCCGUAAGUUCGCAAGAAGGGGAGCCUAUCUUUGAUAGGCCACAGUAAAUUGUGAGGGGCGACUGUUUAUCAAAAACACAACUCUCUGCCAAAGCGCAAGCUGAAGUAUAGGGGGUGAAGCCUGCCCAGUGCCCGAAGGUUAAGCGGACUUGUUAGCUCACGCGAAGCAAGAAAGUGAAGCCCGGGUGAACGGCGGCCGUAACUAUAACGGUCCUAAGGUAGCGAAAUUCCUUGUCGGCUAAAUACUGACCUGCACGAAAGGCGCAACGAUCUCUCAACUGUCUCAACACUAGACUCGGUGAAAUUAUGGUCCCAGUGAAAACGCUGGGUACCCGCAUCAAGACGAAAAGACCCCGUGGAGCUUUACUACAACUUCGUAUUGGAAUUUGGUUUAACAUGUGUAGGAUAGGUGGGAGACUUUGAAGCUGGGACGCUAGUAACAGUGGAGUCAACCUUGAAAUACCACCCUUGUUAAAUUGAGUUUCUAACUUGCAACCCUUAUCUGGUUGGAGGACAGUGCGUGGUGGGUAGUUUGACUGGGGCGGUCGCCUCCUAAAAGGUAACGGAGGCGUUCAAAGUUACACUCAGUACGGUCAGAAACCGUAUGUAGAGCGCAAAGGUAAAAGUGUGAUUGACUGUGAGACCUACAAGUCGAGCAGGUGCGAAAGCAGGACUUAGUGAUCCGGCGGUUCUUUGUGGAAAGGCCGUCGCUCAACGGAUAAAAGCUACCCCGGGGAUAACAGGCUUAUCUUCCCCAAGAGAUCACAUCGACGGGAAGGUUUGGCACCUCGAUGUCGGCUCAUCGCAUCCUGGAGGUGAAGUCGCUUCCAAGGGUUGGGCUGUUCGCCCAUUAAAGCGGUACGCGAGCUGGGUUCAGAACGUCGUGAGACAGUUCGGUCCCUAUCUGAUGUGGGCGUUUGGAAUAUUGAUGAGAGCUGCUCUUAGUACGAGAGGACCGGAGUGGACGUACCACUGGUGCUCCAGUUGUUUCGCCAGAAGCAUAGCUGGGUAGCCAAGUACGGAAAGGAUAACCGCUGAAAGCAUCUAAGCGGGAAGCCUCCUCAGAGAUUAGUAUUCCCUGAGAUACCUUAUAGACUAUGAGGUUGAUAGGAUGGAGGUGUAAGUGUAGUAAUACAUUCAGCUGACCAUUACUAAUUUAUCGAUUGAUUUAAUAUU
rnacentral:rRNA from 1 species